AUGUUUCUCUUCUCUCGAUUCCCCAAGCCGAAGCCAGCCGCCGCCGACUCCCCAACCCCGACCUCCACUCCACCGCCAGCGGCCUCUCCCCCUCUCUCCCUGGACGCAUAUCCACUCGAGCAGCACAGCCCACAGUCAGAUCCGCCCCUCCGUCCUCGCGCCAGAAACCCUAGCCGUCUGGCCAUGGCGACCGACCGCAGGCACAUGCCUCGACGAUGGUGGGGCCACGGAGCGGAGCUUCCUCUGCCCGAGACGCUGCUCAUGUGCUCAUCAAGGUCCGCUGCUCCUUCCUCCAGUCCCAGUCCCAGGAUAAGCAGCAGCAACAUUAAGGCUAUUCAAGCAGGAGUAUGUGUAGACAUAUUUGUUGUAACUGAUGAAUACACCAAUUUGGCUUCGUCGAAGUUUUAA
rnacentral:rRNA from 1 species